UGACUGAAAUACAGUGCUUGGAUCAGUU
rnacentral:piRNA from 1 species